UUAAGCUAAUAAGAGCGCAGGGAGGAUGCCUUGGCAUCAGGAGCCGAAGAAGGACGUGGUAAGCUGCGAAAAGCUACGGGGAUUGGCAAGCACGAUAUGAUCCGUAGAUGUCCGAAUGGAGCAAUCCACAUGGAGUCAAGUCCAUGUAUCAUAUACUGAAUAAAUAGGUAUAUGAGGGGAACCGCCCGAACUGAAACAUCUAAGUAGGGCGAGGAAAAGAAAUCAACCGAGAUUCUGUGAGUAGUGGCGAGCGAAAGCGGAAGAGGCUAAACCGAGAGGAGCAAUCCUUUCGGGGUUUAGGACUGCAUUUAGUACAAUGAUUGUUAACCGAACAGCAUGGGAAGGCUGAUCAAAGAAGGUGAGAAUCCUGUAGGUGAAAACGAAAGUUGACGAGCAGUAUCCAAAGUACCGCGGGGCACGUGAAAUCCCGUGGGAAGAUGGGGGGACCAUCCUCCAAGCCUAAAUACUACCUGAUGACCGAUAGCGAAUAGUACUGUGAAGGAAAGGUGAAAAGUACCCCGGGAGGGGAGUGAAAUAGAACCUGAAACCCUGUGCUUACAAGCACUUAGAGCACGUCAAAGUGUGAUAAGGUACCUAUUGUAGAAUGGUCCGGCGAGUUAUUGUAUGCAGCGAGGUUAAGUAGUUCAGCUACGGAGCCGAAGUGAGAGCGAGUGUUAACAGCACGUUCAGUUGCAUGCAAUAGACCCGAAACCGGGUGACCUAUCCAUGUCCAGGAUGAAGUGAGGGUAAAACCUCAUGGAGGUCCGAACCCACUCCCGUUGAAAUGGUAGGGGAUGAGGUGUGGAUAGCGGAGAAAUUCCAAUCGAACCCGGAUAUAGCUGGUUCUCCCCGAAAUAGUUUUAGGACUAGCCUCGUGAUUAAGAUUAUCGGAGGUAAAGCACUGAAUGGCCUAGGGGUCGAGAGAUUACCGAAGCCUAUCAAACUCUGAAUGCCGAAUAAUCAUGCACGGGAGUCAGACUGUGUGAGAUAAGUUUCAUAGUCGAAAGGGAAACAGCCCAGACCUACAGCUAAGGUCCCAAAGUACGUUUAAGUGGAAAACGAUGUGAAAUUGCGUAGACAACCAGGAUGUUGGCUUAGAAGCAGCCAUACAUUAAAAGAGUGCGUAAUAGCUCACUGGUCGAGUGACUUUGCGCGGAAAAUUUAACGGGGCUAAAACGUACACCGAAGCUUAGGCUUGUCACAAUGUGACAGGGGUAGGGGAGCGUUGAAUGAGGGGUGAAGUCGUAGCGAAAGCGACGGUGGACUUCAUUCAAGUGAGAAUGCCGGAAUGAGUAGCGAGAAUUAUGUGAGAAUCAUAAUGGCCGAAAGCCUAAGGUUUUUGGAGGAAGGUUCGUCCGCUCCAAGUAAGUCGGAAGCUAAGGUGAGGCUGAAAAGCGUAGCCGAUGCACAAACGGUUGAAAUUCCGUUACCACAGAAAGAUUUAAACUAAGGGACACUUUUGAAGAGCUGGUGCCGGGUGUUGGUUACCCCGGUCGUAAGGGAACGAAAUUAAGUAGUGAAGUCAGCGUGGAUGAAGGCGAGAAAAGCUUAGUGUAUAUCUUAUGUGUCCGUACCGCAAACCGACACAGGUAGGUAGGAAGAGAAUUCUAAGGCCAACGGGAGAAGGGUAGUUAAGGAACUCGGCAAAAUGUCCCCGUAACUUCGGAAUAAGGGGAGGUUUCUACGGAAACCCGCAGAGAAUAGUCCCAGGCAACUGUUUAUCAAAAACACAGCUCUAUGCUAAAUCGAAAGAUGACGUAUAUGGGGUGACGCCUGCCCGGUGCCGGAAGGUUAAGAGGAGGAGUGAGAGCCCUGAAUCGAAGCCCCGGUAAACGGCGGCCGUAACUAUAACGGUCCUAAGGUAGCGAAAUUCCUUGUCAGGUAAGUUCUGACCCGCACGAAUGGCGUAAUGAUCUGGGAGCUGUCUCAACUGCCCGCCCGGCGAAAUUGUAGUACCGGUGAAGAUGCCGGUUACCCGCGACUAGACGGAAAGACCCCAUGGAGCUUUACUGUAGCUUAAUAUUGGAUUUCGGCAUUUCAUGUACAGGAUAGGUGGGAGACUAGGAAACAUAGGCGUCAGCUUAUGUGGAGUCGUCCUUGGGAUACCACUCUUGGAGUGCUGAAAUUCUAACCUGCAGCCCUGAAUCGGGUUGGGGGACAUUGUUAGGUGGGCAGUUUGACUGGGGCGGUCGCCUCCAAAAAGGUAACGGAGGCGCUCAAAGGUUGGCUCAGCA
rnacentral:rRNA from 1 species